rnacentral:rRNA from 1 species
GACGAACGCUGGCGGCGUGCCUAACACAUGCAAGUCCACGAGAAAGCGGUAGCAAUACUGCCGGUAAAGUGGCGAACGGGUGAGUAACACGUAGGUAACUUGCCCUUGGGACUGGAAUAACCUCGAGAAAUCGGGGCUAAUACCGGAUAAUGCAGCGGACCCGCAUGGGUAUGUUGUUAAAGUGGUCUUGGCUUGCCAAGUUCACACCUAAGGAUGGACCUGCGUCCCAUUAGCUAGUUGGGAGGUAACGGCUCACCAAGGCGACGAUGGGUAGCCGGCCUGAGAGGGUGUCCGGCACACUGGGACUGAGAUACGGCCAGACUCCUACGGGAGCAGCAGUGAGGAAU